UAAAACCCAAUUGAGUUCUUCUCUUGUAUAACCUACUAUCCCAACAUCAGACCUCGUGACGCAACGAUGAUGAUGAUGGUACGAGACCAUUUACUAUCUAUUGAAGCUUCAUAUUUCCAAUUCCGCUGGAAUGGUUUCGGGGAAUUUGAAUAGAAAUUGAAUUUGCUUGUACUGUUUGCUAUAGAAAUGGCUUCUCGAAUAUUUAUUCUUGGUCUGUUGUUACUCGGAAUCGGAAGUCGCAAUCUAUAGAAUAUGGAAUUGGAGAUACCAAUGGACGAUCUUAUAACCAAUAUUUCAUUUCGAUGAACACAAUGUCUCUACUGUCGACAGCAAAUCUUCCCAGCUCUCAUACUUUUCCUGUUCUUCAUCAUUCAUUAGCAUAAGAGGAUUUAUGGAAGCAUGUGUUCUUUGUUACAACACACAUUAACAAUAGAAUCAUGGCUUAUGUGUCUUAGCAUGCUAUGCCAAGUUAAGGGUAGACUUUAACAGAGUUUUUAUCAUAUGCAUCUGGGAGUUUUAUGGAGUGGAUCCAAAUCCCAUUGGUGAAUGUUCUUUGCACUUAAGUUGGUUAUUUAGUAAUGUUACAUAUUGGGAAGGCAAUUUUAGAUGACUGAUUAGUCCCUUCUUUCCACGUCGUCUCCAAGCAGCAACUACCUAAUCGCCUAUAGAGCAAUAACGGUGGAUGUUGAUCUUGAUGACUCAUUGGCAAAACCGGAUCUUCGAAGUGAUGUAAAGAAAAAAUGCUAAGAAGCAUUCUCAUACAAAACAUCUUAAGAUAGAUGAGGUACAACUUCUGUGUGCAUAUUAUUAUGAGUUCAAAAUUCAGGAUGCAUGUGAUCCUUCAAAUUCCCUAGAAAAAUGGAGGAAAUGGCUCUCCUAUAUUUUAGAAGGUUCUAUAGGCAAUGGUCGCUGUGAAAACAUCAUACAAAAGACAUUAUGUAAAUUCUGAUAUAAUUUAUUACACUCUUUUUUCUUGAAAAUAAAAUAUUACGGGUGUCUUUGUAUUUUUGUAUGCUUAUACACACACACGUUUAGACAGUUUGACUUGUGUAGCGUAUAUAGGGGUGGUUCUGGUUCUGGUUCGGAACAUCUCAUUCAUGGUCGUUUAGCUCGGGAAUCAUUCAGGGUUUUCAGUUUUCAGAGUAGAAUCGUUGACUUUCGGCAACAUUGGGACCAGCUUGGGCAACCGACUUCUGCCCAAGAUCUGCUUUUGGGGUUUUUAGACUGUAUCACUUUAAUAUCUCAGUCCCUUUGCAGUCCCAUGACAAUUUUUGGUUGUGGAAUGAAGAUUCGAAUGAGAUCUUUCGGUUUGAUCUAUCAGAGGCAUGUUAGCUGCAGCGACAUCAACCUCACAAGGAUAUGUUUAUGAUUGGAACAAAUUGGUACAUAAGAAAAUUAAUAUGUUCAGAGAGCGUGCAACCCUAAACCGUCUACCAACAAGGACAGGCUAGCUUGAAGGGGUAUUUCUAUGCAUCAACCUUAUGUCCAUUAUACGGCAAGCUCGAAGAAUCGUUGGAGUAUCUAUUUUCUGGUUGUUUAGUCGCUACAGUAGUAUGGCAGUGAGUCUCUUCUUGGUGUGCUAUCCAACCUAACCUCACUUUUAAUGUCCAUGAUCUGUUUCAUCUUCAUGAAGACAUUAUUGGGUCAACCUAUCUUCGCUUUUAAUGUCCAUGAUCUGUUUCAUCUUCAUGAAGGCACUAUUGGGUCGGAGGUUAAGAAGAAUUUGGUAUGCUCAAAAUCAAUUUUAAUCUCAUGUUGGCCCAUAUGGUAACUUAGAAAUGAAGUUGUUUUCUCGUCCUCUAUAGUCGAUAUCGCAAGUCUCCUGGUUGAAAUCAAAACAUUGGAAACAAACUGGAACAAAUGGAAUGGUCUAGGUGGUGUCUUUUUUUAUUUUUAAUGUGUAUGUAAAUGAUUUAUCCUCUGUACAUUGUUCUUUGUUUUUUAUAAAACUUGC
rnacentral:lncRNA from 1 species